rnacentral:rRNA from 1 species
GUGGGAAGGCCCAGACAGCCAGGAUGUUGGCUUAGAAGCAGCCAUCAUUUAAAGAAAGCGUAAUAGCUCACUGGUCGAGUCGGCCUGCGCGGAAGAUGUAACGGGGCUAAACCAUGCACCGAAGCUGCGGCAGCGACACUGUGUGUUGUUGGGUAGGGGAGCGUUCUGUAAGCCUGUGAAGGUGUGUCGUGAGGCAUGCUGGAGGUAUCAGAAGUGCGAAUGCUGACAUAAGUAACGAUAAAGCGGGUGAAAAGCCCGCUCGCCGGAAGACCAAGGGUUCCUGUCCAACGUUAAUCGGGGCAGGGUGAGUCGACCCCUAAGGCGAGGCCGAAAGGCGUAGUCGAUGGGAAACGGGUUAAUAUUCCCGUACUUGGUGUUACUGCGAAGGGGGGACGGAGAAGGCUAUGUUGGCCGGGCGACGGUUGUCCCGGUUUAAGCGUGUAGGUGUGUGUUCCAGGUAAAUCCGGUUCACUUUAACACUGAGGCGUGACGACGAGGCACUACGGUGCUGAAGCAACAAAUGCCCUGCUUCCAGGAAAAGCCUCUAAGCAUCAGGUAACAUCAAAUCGUACCCCAAACCGACACAGGUGGUCAGGUAGAGAAUACCAAGGCGCUUGAGAGAACUCGGGUGAAGGAACUAGGCAAAAUGGUGCCGUAACUUCGGGAGAAGGCACGCUGACACGUAGGUGAAGUGAUUUACUCAUGGAGCUGAAGUCAGUCGAAGAUACCAGCUGGCUGCAACUGUUUAUUAAAAACACAGCACUGUGCAAACACGAAAGUGGACGUAUACGGUGUGACGCCUGCCCGGUGCCGGAAGGUUAAUUGAUGGGGUCAGCGCAAGCGAAGCUCCUGAUCGAAGCCCCGGUAAACGGCGGCCGUAACUAUAACGGUCCUAAGGUAGCGAAAUUCCUUGUCGGGUAAGUUCCGACCUGCACGAAUGGCGUAAUGAUGGCCAGGCUGUCUCCACCCGAGACUCAGUGAAAUUGAACUCGCUGUGAAGAUGCAGUGUACCCGCGGCAAGACGGAAAGACCCCGUGAACCUUUACUAUAGCUUGACACUGAACAUUGAGCCUUGAUGUGUAGGAUAGGUGGGAGGCUUUGAAGUGUGGACGCCAGUCUGCAUGGAGCCGACCUUGAAAUACCACCCUUUAAUGUUUGAUGUUCUAACGUGGACCCGUUACCCGGGUUGCGGACAGUGUCUGGUGGGUAGUUUGACUGGGGCGGUCUCCUCCUAAAGAGUAACGGAGGAGCACGAAGGUUGGCUAAUCCUGGUCGGACAUCAGGAGGUUAGUGCAAUGGCAUAAGCCAGCUUGACUGCGAGCGUGACGGCGCGAGCAGGUGCGAAAGCAGGUCAUAGUGAUCCGGUGGUUCUGAAUGGAAGGGCCAUCGCUCAACGGAUAAAAGGUACUCCGGGGAUAACAGGCUGAUACCGCCCAAGAGUUCAUAUCGACGGCGGUGUUUGGCACCUCGAUGUCGGCUCAUCACAUCCUGGGGCUGAAGUAGGUCCCAAGGGUAUGGCUGUUCGCCAUUUAAAGUGGUACGCGAGCUGGGUUUAGAACGUCGUGAGACAGUUCGGUCCCUAUCUGCCGUGGGCGCUGGAGAACUGAGGGGGGCUGCUCCUAGUACGAGAGGACCGGAGUGGACGCAUCACUGGUGUUCGGGUUGUCAUGCCAAUGGCACUGCCCGGUAGCUAAAUGCGGAAGAGAUAAGUGCUGAAAGCAUCUAAGCACGAAACUUGCCCCGAG